UACGUAGGGUGCGAGCGUUAAUCGGAAUUACUGGGCGUAAAGCGUGCGCAGGCGGUUUUGUAAGCCAGAUGUGAAAUCCCCGGGCUUAACCUGGGAAUGGCAUUUGGGACUGCAAGGCUGGAGUGUGGCAGAGGGAGACUGGAAUUCCCGGUGUAGCAGUGAAAUGCGUAGAUAUCGGGAGGAAUACCGAUGGCGAAGGCAGGUCUCUGGGCUGACACUGACGCUCAUGCACGAAAGCGUGGGGAGCAAACAGG
rnacentral:rRNA from 1 species